rnacentral:rRNA from 1 species
GGAAUUUUCCGCAAUGGGCGAAAGCCUGACGGAGCAACGCCGCGUGAGGGAUGAAGGCCUCUGGGCUGUAAACCUCUUUUAUCAAGGAAGAAGAUCUGACGGUACUUGAUGAAUAAGCCACGGCUAAUUCCGUGCCAGCAGCCGCGGUAAUACGGGAGUGGCAAGCGUUAUCCGGAAUUAUUGGGCGUAAAGCGUCCGCAGGCGGUCUUUUAAGUCUGUCGUCAAAGCGUGGAGCUUAACUCCAUUUCUGCGAUGGAAACUGGGAGACUAGAGUGUGGUAGGGGCAGAGGGAAUUCCCGGUGUAGCGGUGAAAUGCGUAGAUAUCGGGAAGAACACCAGUGGCGAAGGCGCUCUGCUGGGCCAUAACUGACGCUCAUGGACGAAAGCCAGGGGAGCGAAAGGGAUUAGAUACCCCUGUAGUCCUGGCCGUAAACGAUGAACACUAGGUGUCGGGGGAAUCGACCCCCUCGGUGUCGUAGCCAACGCGUUAAGUGUUCCGCCUGGGGAGUACGCACGCAAGUGUGAAACUCAAAGGAAUUGACGG